GCAUCGGUCGUUCAGUGGUACGAUGCUCGCUUGCCACGCCGGCGGCCUGGGAUCGAUUCCCGGCCGACGCA
rfam:Toxocara canis scaffold239, whole genome shotgun sequence.